UCUAAUGUGGCAGAAUAGUGCAAUGGACUUAAACCCCAUACAUAAAGCUCCCCUUUCUUUAGAA
rnacentral:tRNA from 1 species